CUCUCAUGAUGGCAGCAGCCGCCUUUUGUGCUUUCCUAUUGUACCACCUGGGGGAUGGACCCGUCUGGAUGGAUUUUGUUGGGACCUACCAGAAUGCAUGCCGAGACAACUGGUGGACAAACCUGAUCAACCUCCAGAAUUUCAUUCAUACAGACAACAUGUGCUUGCCUCAUACGUGGUACUCGGCAGUGGACUUGCAGCUUUUCCUCAUCUCUCCCUUCUUUAUUUCCCUUCUCUACAGAUGGCCCCGUGUAGGAGUGGCACUAUGCGGAGUGCUCAUUGUGACUUCAACUACAGCCAGCAUUAUGUAUACGGUAUUGCAUAG